rnacentral:antisense_RNA from 18 species
UUUACAUAUUCUGCAAAUGCUCCAGGAUAUCUAGCUCCAAUCACUGUUAAUUUUUCGCAUUGUGACAGUAAUCCUUUUUUACAGCUUUCACACUUUCCGCAAUAAAGUGCAGGGCA